rnacentral:rRNA from 1 species
CCCUUAGAUGUUCUGGGCCGCACGCGUGCUACACUGAUGCAUUCAACGAGUCUAAAACCUGGUCUGAUAGGGCUGGGUAAUCUUUUGAAAGUGCAUCGUGAUUGGGAUAGAUGAUUGCAAUUCUUCAUCUUCAACGAGGAAUGCCUAGUAAACGCAAGUCAUCAGCUUGCAUUGAUUACGUCCCUGCCCUUUGUACACACCGCCCGUCGCUCCUACCGAUUGAAUGAUCCGAUGAAUACCAUGGAUUGAGAGUACGAAUAGGUUCGCUUAUUUCUGCUGCUCGAGAAGUGAAGUAAAUCUUAUCAUUUAGAGGAAGGAGAAGUCGUAACA